rnacentral:rRNA from 1 species
UACGAAGGGGGCUAGCGUUGCUCGGAAUUACUGGGCGUAAAGGGCGCGUAGGCGGCACUGUUAGUCAGGCGUGAAAGUCCUGGCUCAACCUGGGAACUGCGCUUGAUACGCAGAGCUAGAGGAUGGAAGAGGGUCGCGAAUUCCCAGUGUAGAGGUGAAAAUUCGUAGAUAUUGGGAAGAACACCGGUGGCGAAGGCGGCGACCUGGUCCAUUACUGACGCUGAGCGCGACAGCGUGGGGAGCAACAGG